AAGAAAUUAGUUUAAUUAAAACAUUAAUUUGUCAAAUUAAAAAUAUUUAUUAUAAAUAUUUCUUA
rnacentral:tRNA from 4 species